rnacentral:rRNA from 1 species
AGGGGUUUUUUUUUAAAUCAAAUUGGGAGAGACAUUUUCCGAGGCAGUUAGUUUACUAAGCGCCAAGAUGCUGGCACCUUAAAGGCGGACGGGUGAGUAACGCGUGGGUAACCUGCCUCUUUAAAGGGGAUAACACUUACAAAUAGGUGCUAAUACCGCAUAAACGCACGGGGCUGCAUGGCCCAGUGUGAACUCCUCCGGUGGUAUAAGAUGGACCCGCGUCUGAUUAGCUUGUUGGCGGGGUAACGGCCCACCAAGGCGACGAUCAGUAGCCGGCCUGAGAGGGUGGACGGCCACAUUGGGACUGAGACACGGCCCAAACUCCUACGGGAGGCAGCAGUGGGGAAUAUUGGACAAUGGGGGGAACCCUGAUCCAGCGACGCCGCGUGAGUGAAGAAGUAUUUCGGUACGUAAAGCUCUAUCAGCAGGGAAGAAAGAAAUGACGGUACCUGACUAAGAAGCCCCGGCUAACUACCUGCCAGCAGCCGCGGUAAUACGUAGGGGGCAAGCGUUAUCCGGAUUUACUGGGUGUAAAGGGAGCGUAGACGGUUACGCACGUCUGGAGUGAAAGGCGGGGGCCCAACCCCCGGACUGCUUUGGAAACUGUAUAACUGGAUUGCAGGACAGGUAAGUGGAAUUCCUAGUGUACCGGUGAAAUGCGUAUAUAUUUAUGAGGAACACCACUGGCGAAGGCGGCUUACUGGACUGUAACUGACGUUGAGGCUCGAAAGCGUGGGGAGCAAACAGGAUUAAAUACCCUGGUUAUCCCCCCCGUCAAACAAUGAUCCCUAUGUUGUCCG